rnacentral:rRNA from 1 species
AUUGAACGCUGGCGGCAGGCCUAACACAUGCAAGUCGAGCGAGCGGCGGCCGGGUGAGUAAUGUAUGGGGACUGCCCGACAGAGGGGGAUACCUACUGGAAACGGUAGCUAAUACCGCAUACUCUCGUAUAACCCAUAUGGGAUUAGCUAGUAGGUGAGGUAAUGGCUCACCUAGGCGACGAUCCCUAGCUGGUCUGAGAGGAUGAUCCGCCACACUGGGACUGAGACACGGCCCAGACUCCUACGGAGGCAGCAGUGGGGAAUAUGGCACAAUGGGCGCGAGCCUGAUGCAGCCAUGGCGCGAGUGUGAAGAAGGCCCUAGGGUUGUAAAGUACGUUCAGUGGGGAAGCGUUAACGACGGAAGAAGCACCGGCGAACUCCGUGCCAGCAGCCGCGGUAAUUC